AUUGAACGCUGGCGGAAGGCAUAACACAUGCAAGUCGAGCGGAUGAAGGGAGCUUGCUCCUGGAUUCAGCGGCGGACGGGUGAGUAAUGCCUAGGAAUCUGCCUGGUAGUGGGGGAUAACGUCCGGAAACGGGCGCUAAUACCGCAUACGUCCUGAGGGAGAAAGUGGGGGAUCUUCGGACCUCACGCUAUCAGAUGAGCCUAGGUCGGAUUAGCUAGUUGGUGGGGUAAAGGCCUACCAAGGCGACGAUCCGUAACUGGUCUGAGAGGAUGAUCAGUCACACUGGAACUGAGACACGGUCCAGACUCCUACGGGAGGCAGCAGUGGGGAAUAUUGGACAAUGGGCGAAAGCCUGAUCCAGCCAUGCCGCGUGUGUGAAGAAGGUCUUCGGAUUGUAAAGCACUUUAAGUUGGGAGGAAGGGCAGUAAGUUAAUACCUUGCUGUUUUGACGUUACCAACAGAAUAAGCACCGGCUAACUUCGUG
rnacentral:rRNA from 1 species